GAGGGUGUAGCUCAGUGGUAGAGUGCAUGCCUGGCAUGCACCAGGUCCGAGUUCAAUCUCCAGUACCUCCA
rnacentral:tRNA from 1 species